GUGGAUGCCUUGGCGAUUACAGGCGAUGAAGGACGUUGUAGCCUGCGAUAAGCUUCGGGGAGCUGGCAAACAAGCUUUGAUCCGA
rnacentral:rRNA from 1 species